rnacentral:rRNA from 1 species
CGGAGAGGCAUCUCUACCGUCUGGAAAGUUUUUCGGUCUGGGAUGGACUCGCGGCCUAUCAGCUAGUUGGUGAGGUAAUGGCUCACCAAGGCGACGACGGGUAGCCGGCCUGAGAGGGCGACCGGCCACACUGGGACUGAGACACGGCCCAGACUCCUACGGGAGGCAGCAGUGGGGAAUAUUGCACAAUGGGCGAAAGCCUGAUGCAGCGACGCCGCGUGAGGGAUGACGGCCUUCGGGUUGUAAACCUCUUUCAGCAGGGAAGAAGCGAAAGUGACGGUACCUGCAAAAGAAGCACCGGCUAACUACGUGCCAGCAGCCGCGGUAAUACGUAGGGUGCGAGCGUUGUCCGGAAUUAUUGGGCGUAAAGAGCUUGUAGGCGGUUUGUCGCGUCUGCAGUGAAAAUCCGAGGCUCAACCUCG